GAAGGGUGAAAGAGACGUUAUUUACGGACCAGUGCACAUAACCAUUAAUGCGAUUUUGUGUGUUUAGGAACACAAUGGCUCUAUCUGAGGUUGUGGGCGGGGUCACAAUGAAAUCAUGGUGAGCCUUAAUGGCUAGACUUUGAGCCAAUCGGGGCG